UAAUUUUUUUUAAUGGUUGUCUGCUACUUAACUUUUCUCUGUUUUCUUCUGGCAACAAAUAAGCUUCCAAUGGUAAAGAAACUCAAGCCAAGAGAGAGAAAUCAAAGGAGAAGGGUCAGUUGACACUCUCCACUGCUGAACCUCCUAAUCCUACAACAAGUGUGACAUCUGAUAAAGAUGAAGAUGCCCCAUCUGAAAAUGCUGCUGCCGUGUCUAGUAAUUUUACAGACCAGAAAAGUACAGAUGUUUUUGGCGAGUUAUGGAAAUUGAAGCCAUUGCCUGAAGAAAGGAAGUGCCAUUAUCAGUCAUCAGAUUUGACACCACUAGUGCUAGGAGUAGACCAUAUAGAGGAUUUGUUAUUUAUUUAUUUAUAUUCAAGACCAUUUUCAAUUUAUUGUAAUAAAUAUUAUAUUUUUUUUA